CCCACCAACUCACAGGGCCAUAACAAAAGAUGUACAGUGUUUUUCCCCCAUCUCAGAAUGAUGUAGCCAGGCCCUUCUGCAGAACCAGUUGUGGAGUGAAGUCUGCAUAAGACUUAUUUUCAGUACAACAUUUGACAUGGCUUUGUUGUCAUUUUGUGUAUUUUAGAAUCUCCUCUGGUGAGUCAUUCCUCUGACAGUCCUGUGAUGGGUUGCUCAGGCCUUGAGUCAAAUGAUACCAUAAGUAAAGGACUAGUAGUCCAAUUUGGUAGCAGUUACAGUACAGUUACAGUAUUGUCCCCUUGUCACUAUGAGGAUUUGUCACACUAUAUGGUCAACGAUCCAAAAGAGAGAGCCAGCUAUCUGACUCUCACUGUCAUGAUCAUGACACUCACUUUGACUCCUACAUCAAAUGGAAACCCUGCAGUGCGACAAAUCCUUUAAUUGUGUAAACUAACCACCCUCAGAGAGCGGCGGCCAUGUGCCUCACACUUCAGGGAUUUUCCAUACUUGGAUCUUGCUAGAUGAGGGUGCAAAUUUGAUUACCUAAUCAUUAACAUUGAACAUUGUAUUCUUCUGAGGAUAUCACCACUGCGCAGGGUGAGAGAGAUGUAUGCACAAGGCAUUGUCUCCUUGUUCCCAUACUUGAAGGAUCCCUACCAUGAAAAUGGAUAUGUAAGUAAACAUUACAACUGAUAAAGGGCAUCUAUGUUUCAUUUCUCUGGUAUGGUAUCUGAGGAAAUAAGACUUGGUUAUUCAUUUUUCCUUUAGAGGGGCACUGUCAUGCUAGGUUAACUUAAGGUUAUUUGAAUUGAAUGCUUAAGUCAUAGGCCUAUAUAUACAGAGGUGGAAAAAAAGUUUUCGGACACCCCAUGCAUUUGUGAAAUAUUGCAUUAAGAAUCACUCUUAGGUCUUCAAGUGCAAUUUCUUUUAGUAUAGUCACAGCCAAAAUACUAAAUAAAUCCUAAAAAAGCCAUUAAAAACUUAAAAUUGAUUGGUUCCAUAAAAAUACAUAAGAAAUUUUGGGUAUUGGGUCAUUUUGGUACCAGUGAUGAAGGUCGUUCUUUUUAUUAAAAGACAAUUUUUGUUGCUAAGCUUCGUGUCUACAUAAAGCCAGCACAUUUGAAAGUUCUUCAGACACAAAAAUGGCUAAAACAAGGAACCUAACGCAGGAAACACGCCUGAAGAUAAAGAUUCUCAGCCAGGAAGGGUACAGCUGCUGCCAGAUAGCCAGGAAGUGCAGAUGCAGUCCUUCAGCAGUUGGAUACACUCUGCAGAAAUACAGACGAACCAACAGCUUGGAAGACAAACCAAGAUCUGGGCGUCCAAGGGUUUCUUCAGCAAGAAAUGACCGCAUCCUGAUCUGCAUGUGCAGGCAAAACGGCCGAAUGACAUCACAGGAGCUUCAGCAGCAGUGGUCAAACCAAACUGGUGUCCAGUGUUCCACUUGCACUGUACGUGACCGACUUUUAGAUCAUGGCUUAAGGUCCUACAAGGCUAUCAAGAAGCCCCUGAUCAAUGAGAGACAGAGGUUAGCCUGGCGUCAUUGGGCCCAGGCACACAAGAACUGGACAGUGGCUGCAGGAGCACAGUAUCCAGGUCUUAGAGUGGCCAGCUCAAUCCCCGGACAUGAGCCCCAUUGAAAAUCUGUGGUGGAUUAUCAAAAGGUCUGUUUCAAAGCAUAAACCAAAGAAUUUAGAAGAAUUAAAAGCAGUAAUUCAAGAAGAAUGGGACAAGAUUACCCCUCAACAGUGUCAAAGGCUCGUGGGGAACAUGCCAACCAGGAUUAGAGCUCUACUACGUGCCAAUGGCAGGACUACUAAAUAUUAAUUUGAUGAUGUGAUGGUUUAUUUAUUUUUUGUUCAGUUCUGAACACAUUCUCUGUUAUUUGUUGACUUUGAUACCGACAAUGUUGAGAACUGACAUAUUGAAACUGUCAAGAAUUUAGUUUUGUUAGUUUUUCUUGUAAACAAUAAACAAAAAAAAUAUAAUUUGUAUUUGUUUGUAUCUGUCUAAUGCAGCCACACCUUUUGAAACACAAAAAAGAUUUUUCCACAAAUAUUUCAUGAUAAUAUUUGAGAUUGUGUAAAAUUUUAAGGGUGUCCGAAAACUUUUUCCACCACUGUAGACUUUGUAUGAUCGCCGUCAGUGAAGCCCUAUGCCAUAAAAAGAGCAUUUUCCUAUUCCAAAACUCCAACCUUGACUGUUUUGUUGGCCUUCACCUCCAUGGUGGGGCCUGCCCACAAAACAGUUAGGUUUGGAGUUUUGAGCAACUUUGCAUCCUGGGAAACGCAGUCAAACAGAAGAUGAAACUGACCUUUGAGUACAGGAAGAAGAUGACCCACGACCCAGUCAAAUGCUCCACCAUCCUAACUGAAUUCCCACGCUUUCUGGAUGUGAAGGGCUUGAUAAUGCUUUUUAAAAAGUUAGUUUGUAUAUAUGGGGUUACAUCUCUAGAUGCUAAUUCAGGUUGAUGAGUAACUGUAAACAAAAACAACCCUUCCACAAUAGUAGGUGUUCACUUCCUGUGUGAUGAUGGUGAGUGACCUCCAAAACAGUGAUUGAGUAAAACUGGAAGGUAAACCAAAUUGGCUUCACUCAAUGUUUUUUUUUUCUUCUCAGAUUGAACAGGAUUUUGUGCAGCUGUUUGGAGAGGAAACAUCAGCCAAGUUUUUGGAGAAGUGGCCAACUACCUUUAAGCAGAAGAUCAUCCAGCAAAGCAAGACCCUCACCAGUCAGGGAGAUGAACUCCAGGAGCUGAUCUAGAAGGCAGAAUCUACACUUGAUGAGGGAGCUGACACAGAUGCUGACGGAUGGGACAGUGACAUUUCCUCCAUCCUGAUCUUGCUCCAUUUGAUUCCUCCUGCAUCACAAGGCCGCAAAAGAGCAGGCAAGAUGGCUGCAUCCCGAGCCGAGAAUCUUCUUGUGAAAUUCCAAAAGGCAAGAACCAGUAUCCAGCAGCACUUUGAUGCGAUUGACCAGAGCCAACAACCUUACUUUCUUGCGGUCGGGACCAGGAAGAGCAGUAUCCAUGCCUACUACAUCAUCCUGGACAAGCGAGCCUUGCCAUGCAAGUCACUGAGUGCUGUUGGUGUGUUCGAUGAACUGUUCAAGGCACACUUUGUUUUUGGUGCUGCUUACAAUACAAGUCUGUGCAGCAUGUACACCUUAGUACAGACAACAGUGUACAAUAUAGACACUGGGAAGGUUAAGGAAACCCCAAGAGUUGCUCAGCUUAGUGCUCAACUCCUGCACUAAUGCCUCAAGUUUUAUGAUUUAUUUGCCAUGCUCCUCAUGGGAGUACUAACUUGCUUGUGAGGCAUCUCAAGUUGGUGCAUGGAAUGUGCCCAGGUAGAACUUUAUGACUAAAAUGUGGUCAGGCAGGUUGUUAUGGUGUUUUUGCUACCUUUUCAGGCUUUAGGAAGCAUUUGAACAGGGCACAUGCAGAAGAUUGUCCAGUUCCAGUUUUGUUAAAUGCGAACUUGUGUGCUGAGAAAACGACUGAUAAUGAGCUAAGUAAUGUUAAGCCAAGUAAUGUUGAUUUACCUUCCACUUCUAGUUCUAGCCAUGUUGUACCAGUAACUAACAAGACAAGAUUGACAUUGCAGUCAAUUUUGAAGUACCCAAACACAUGUGACAUGUUUAAGUCAGAGCACAAUCUUAAAGAUCUAGUUUACUAUGAUUUGGAAGAUGGGCUACAUAUGAAAAGUCAUCCUCUCUUUUCUAAAGAGAAAAAUGCAUACAAACCCAACUUUUCUAUGAUGGUUUUGAGGCAGGUAAGCUAUUGGGAUCAAAAAAGGGUAUUCAUAGGUAGGUAGGUACUUUAUUAAUCCCCUUGUGGAGAAAUUUAAUUUCAUACAUUGGGGGGUAUAUAUUUUACUUUGAGAAAUGUUUCCCCUAAGUUUAAUUCGAUGUUGAUAAAUAUACACCUGUGUGCACUCUUCCAUACCCAGGACCUUAAAACUUAUGGAUUUGAUUCUAUUCUAUAGUAAGCAAUUUGAAAGUGCUUGAGACUGAGGGUAUUGAAGUUCCCCUUUUUGGUCAUAUACGUAGCAGUAUUGUGCAGGUAACUGGAGACAAUCUUGGCAUACAUGCCUGUUUGGUUUUGUGGAGUCAUUUAGUGCUCGUUAUUGUUGCCGGUUCUGUCUCACUGAGAAAGUGGAUUUUCAAACUGUGUUUUUUUGAAGAUGACCCAAGAGUGAUUUUAUGAACAAAACACAUGCACUCAGAGCAUUGUAAAUCUAUGCAGUCAAAUCCAACAGCACCUCAUGUGUACGGUGUGAAAGAUGCUUGCUGAUUGAACUCUCUGCAGUAUUUCAAUACGACUGAGAAUUUUUCUGUUGAUGUAAUGCACAACAUUUUAGAAAGAGUGGCACAAUUUCAGUUAAAACUUGUGUUACAGUAUUACCAACUGUAUGACUGUAAAAGAUUUGUGCUAUAGAGUUCAAUCAUUUAACUUUGGGUACACACAGGAGCAAUCGUCCACAUGCAGUCAAACUGGAUGAUGGAAGCAAUGAUUUGGGACUAAAUGCUUCUCAGUCUUGGUGUUUUCGCCGCCAUUUUCCAUUGAUAUUUGGUGAUCUCUUACAGAAAGGUGAUUCAUAUUGGCAGCUCCUUCUCUUACUACUGCAAAUUGUAAAGAUUAUUUUUUCUCCUGUUCUAACUGAGGCUGUGACUAUAUAUCUGAAGCACUUAAUUGCUGAACAUCAUAGGCUUUUCAAGUAUUUGUUUCCUCAUAGGAAUCUCCUGUCGAAACACCACUUUAUGACACAUUAUCCACGUUGUAUCAGAAAUAUUGGAACCAUUCUUCACUCAUGGUGUAUGCGCCAUGAGGUGAAACACAAUUUCUUUAAAAAGCAACUAAAGAGUUUUAAGAAUGUCACUUUGACCUUAUCCAAGAAACACCAACAUUAUGUAGCAUAUAAUUGGGAAACAUUUAGCCAGGAUAGAUUAAUUAUAGGUCCAGGAAAGAUGUCAGAGAUCAGUGAUCUGAUUUCAGCCAAGUUAACUGUCUCAGUGGACGCAGAGGUUUUGUCAGUUAAAUGGGUGAAACACCAUGGUGCAGAAUAUUGCCUUGAUUUCACUUUUCCAAGUGAAAUACCAGUCUUUUACAAAAUUAAGGAUAUUGUUGUAAAAGAGGAAAGUAUUUGUUUUGAUGAUCAUUUGCAUGCAUUUAAAGUUGUUUUGAAGCGAAGUUCACCAUGCAAGGUUUUUCAUGUGAAUGUCAUUGUGUACCACAAACCUUUUGAUUUGCUCAUGUCAUAUGAAGCAAGGGAUUAUUUUGAUUAUAUUGUCCCCUACUGUAAUUUGAUAAAUUUAAAUUAGAGUUGAGACUCAGUAUAUCCACCCACUUCACUUCCACAUUCCUCCCUGACCAACUUGAAGAGGAUCCUGGACCUGGCUCUGUAGAGUGUACGUGACAUACAUAAAUUAUUUAUUAUUUCCUAUAAUGUAGCCCAACUAUUGUAAUAGCAUCAUAGUCACCGUUUCAGGUGGCCUCCCACCAUUUUGUUUUACUUAAAGGUGCUUUCAGUGAUUUGACCAAAAAUAACAAAAGAAAAUGCGAUUUUCACUAACAAUCCCCCACUGCUCACUGUCUCCCUCUUGUAGCUGUAAUUUAUCUCAAAAACUGUAGACUCACGGGUGGUGGCAUUGGAUUUGGGGUGAAAAAAUACAUAUAUGAGGCUAUAUGGUCGUUAAUCUAUUUAAUCUUCUGAUUUCCAGAAUAUGUAAUCAUUUCUCCGAUUGGAUUGAGAGCAGUCACCCAGUCUGCUGCACACACCACAAAUUUUCUCCUCUGUUCCCACUGCAAUUCUUCUAUUUCAACA